UACGUAGGUGGCAAGCGUUGUCCGGAUUUACUGGGUGUAAAGGGCGUGUAGCCGGGCUGACAAGUCAGAUGUGAAAUCCGGGGGCUCAACCCCCGAACUGCAUUUGAAACUGUUGGUCUUGAGUAUCGGAGAGGCAGGCGGAAUUCCUAGUGUAGCGGUGAAAUGCGUAGAUAUUAGGAGGAACACCAGUGGCGAAGGCGGCUUACUGGACGGCAACUGACGCUGAGGCUCGAAAGCGUGGGGAGCAAACAGG
rnacentral:rRNA from 1 species